AGGCAGAUACCUUCUCUACUCCUAUUCCCAGUUAGUUACAGGUGGAGGGGGAAGGGAGUGGAUUGAACAAGAAAUAUUUGCAAUUAAUUAUUGGUAAACAUUUAUGUAAUGCUUAUUCUGUUCAGUGUGUUGACUUUUAGUGCAAGGUAGAACACUGAAAAAGGCAUUUUAAAGUGCUUAUUAUGCGCUAAGCACUGAGGUUACUAAUAGGAAAAAAAAAAAGCAAUAUAGCCCCUACUCUUGAGGAUCUCAGGUCUAAUUGAGGGAUGCAACACAUAAAGCAAUUUCACCUGGUAGAAGUGUCCACUAAAAAUGGUUUGGUGGAUGGUAAGAACUUGAGUGCCUCAGUAGGUAAACACAUAUAGGCAGUAUCUAGGGGUCUGGAGAUUUUAGGUAUGAGCCCGAUGAUAAGACCCAGAGGAACUUCUAAAGACAGGGCUAAGGUCUAGUCAUUCUAUAUCUCACUGAGAUUAGAAUUGGUGACUCCCAUUUCUUCUAAAUAGGACUUACUAUCACUGAUUUUAACUGCCCACUCAAGAGCUAUCCAAGGUUAAGCCAUAGUUGUUAUCAUCAAAUGGCCAUUCCCUGGGUAAGGAAACACAAAGAAGCAAAGUGAUUUGUUAAAAGGUCUUCAAGCUGAGUCUCAUUUUUGGAAUGUUCCUCCUCCUCAUCUCUGCUUCCUAGAAUCCCUAGUUAUCUUCGGAUGCCCUCCUAAACAAUGUUUUUCAUGAUUCCCCUAGGUCAGUGAUGGUGAUCCUUUUAGAGAUAGAGUGCUGCACCCAUCCUUCCCCCCCAACCCCAGAUAGGGGAGAGAGGAAGCACUCUCAUUGGGCUACUGGGCAGAGGGGUAGGUGAUGAGAGGUGCAUGUGGAGAAUGGGAGGAGAGUGACCCCAGCACUCGACUCCCCUCUAGCUCUGGUCCCCUCCAACUAUGUGCCAGGCUGUGAGCUAUGCCCUUCUCAAACCUAGAUCCUCUUCAACCCCACCAUGGGAAGCACCUUCAUCACAGACUCAACAGGCUGUCAUCUGCUUUGCACCCUUAUGUAGCAUAUCCAGGUUUUUUCCUACUUUGCCGUGCUUCCUCCUUAUUGUAGAAUGUGAAGGGAUAUGAAACUGGGGAGAAGUUUGAGGGGUCAGGAAGUAAACUGCAAUAAGUGAAUCAAUUCAGAGAGCAUCUACAUUAGGAUUCAGCAAGAUCCAACAGGAGAAAAAGUAUGUGUUGUCAUUAAAAACAAAGAGGCACUACAAGUCUUCAAGGAGAAUGUAUAUACAACUAUGUAGGAAAGAGGCUGCCCAUGAAUGUUCAAGAAUUACACCCUCAUAGAAACCCCAAAUUUAAUUCUUUAUAUGGACAGCUGAUGGGAUGAGUGUCUUAUAUUUCUCUAUUUGUUCAUGUGUUUAUCUGAGUCAUUAGCUUCUUCACUUUCUAUGUGGGCAAAAUAAAGGCUAUCUUAUACUUAUUAUUAGAUAUUAA
rnacentral:lncRNA from 1 species